GAUGAACGCUGGCGGCGUGCCUAAUACAUGCAAGUCGAGCGAACGGACGAGAAGCUUGCUUCUCUGAUGUUAGCGGCGGACGGGUGAGUAACACGUGGAUAACCUACCUAUAAGACUGGGAUAACUUCGGGAAACCGGAGCUAAUACCGUAUGAUAUUUUGCACCGCAUGGUUCAAAAGUGAAAGACGGUCUUGCUGUCACUUAUAGAUGGAUCCGCGCUGCAUUAGCUAGUUGGUAAGGUAACGGCUUACCACGGCGACGAUGCAUAGCCGACCUGAGAGGGUGAUCGGCCGCACUGGAGCUGAGACACGGUCCAGACUCCUGCGAGAGGCAGCAGUAGGGAAUCUUCCGCAGAGGGCGAAAGCCUGACGGAGCAACGCCGCGUGAGUGAUGGAGGUCUUCGGAUCGUAAAACUCUGUUAUUAGGGAAGAACAUAUGUGUAAGUAACUGUGCACAUCUUGACGGUACCUAGUCAGAAAGCCACGGCUAACUACGUG
rnacentral:rRNA from 1 species